GGUUUUUUGUGAUUGGAUAAAAAAUCAGGCCUGCCCGCUGUUGAAGGGCUGCAGUAUUUUGACUGUACAAAGGUAGCAUAAUCAUUAGUCUUUUAAUUGGGGACUGGUAUGAAAGGUUUGACGGGAGUUGACUGUCUCUAUGGUAUUUAUGAAUUUAUCUUUUUUGUGAAAAGACAAAAAUUGGUCAAAGGGACGAGAAGACCCUAUUAAAUUUAAUAGGUUUAUGUAUUUCCGGUUUGGUUAUGUUGAUAUAUGUAGGUUUAUUUGGUUGGGGCGACUAGUGAGUGACAACACUGAGAAUAAGUAUUGUGGUUUUAGUAAUUUUGAGCCAUUAGGAUUGAUAUUAGAUAAAAUUACUAUAGGGAUAACAGCGUAAUAUUUUUUGAGAGUUCAUAUUGACAAAAGUGUUUGCGACCUCGAUGUUGGAUCAAGGAGUCUAUUUGGUGCAGAAGCUAAAUUAGAUGGUCUGUUCGACCAUUAAAUUCUU
rnacentral:rRNA from 1 species